GUUUGAGUUAAUUUUCUAUCCAGCCAAUUUGGUGAAAUUGUUUAUCAGCUGUAGGAGUUGUCUCAUGAAAUUUGGGGGGUCACUUAAGUAUGCUAUCAUGUCAUCUGCAAAGAGUGAUAUUUUGAGUUCUUCCUUUCCAAUUUGUAUCCUUUGACCUCCUCUUGUUCUCUAAUUGAUCUAGCUAAAACUUCAAGUACUAUACUGAAUGGAUAGGGAAAGAGAAGGCAGCUUUGGCUAGUCCCUGAUUUUAGUGGACUACUUCAAAUUUCUCUCCAUUUAAUAUGAUGUCACCUACUGGUCUGCUGCAUAUUGCAUUUGCUAUGUUUAGGCUUGGGCCUUGAAUUACUUAUCUUUCCAAGGCUUUUAACAUGAGGGGAUGUUGGAUUUUGUCAAAUGCGUUUUCAGCAUCUAAUGAAAUAAUCAUGUGGGUUUUUUUCCCUUUGAGUUUGUUUAUGUAAUGGUUUACAGUGAUGGAUUUCCAUAUAUUGAACCAUCCCUGAAUCCCUGGGAUGAAGCUUACUCGAUAGUGGUGAAUGAUCAUUUUGAUGUGUUCCUGGAUUCAGUUUGUAAGAAUUUUCUAGAGUAUUUUUGCAUUGAUAUUCAUAAGGGAAACUGGUCGAAAGUUCUCUUUCUUUGUUGGGUCUUUGUGUGGUUUUGGUAUCAGUAUAACCAUGUCUUCAUAGAAGGUAUUGGAUAGUGUUCCUUCUGUUUCUAUUAUAUGGGAUAGUUUAAAGAAUACUGAUAAUAGCUCGUUUGAAGGUCUGAUAGAAUUCUGCAAUAAACCCAUAUGAUCCUGGCCUUUUUAUGGUUGGGAGAUUUUAAGUGACUGCUUCUAUUUCAUUGGGGUUUAUGGGACUGUUUAGAUGAUUUAUCUGAUCUGGAUUUAACUUUGGUAUCUGGUAUCUGUCUAAAAAAAAUUGUCCAUUUCCUCCAGAAUUUUCAGUUUUGUUGAAUACAGGCUUUUCUAGUAGGAUCUGAUGUUUUUGAAUUUCCUUGGUUUCUGUUGUUAUGUCUCCCUUUUCACUUCUGAUUUUGUUAAUUUGGAUACUGUCUCUGUUGCCCUGUGGUUAGUCUGGCUAAGGGUUUAUCUAUCUUGUUGUUUUUCUAAGAGACCCAGCUCCUGGUUUGGUUGAGUCUUUGUAUAGUUCUUUCUGUUUCUACUUGGUUGAGUUCAGCCCUGAGUUUGAUUAUUUCCUGCUUCUUUUUGUUCCAGAGCUUUCAGAUGUGCUAUCAAGCUGAUAAUAGUGUAUGCUCUCUCCAGUUUCUUUUUGGAGGCACUCAGAGCUAUGAGUGUUCCUCUUAGGACUGCUUUCAUUGUAUCCCAUAAAUUUGUGUAUGUUGUGGUUUCAUUUUCAUUGAAUUCUAAAAAGUCUAUAAUUUCUUUCUUUAUUUCUUCCUUGACCAAGUUGUCAUUGAGUAGAGUGUUGUUCAGCUUCCACGUGUUUGUGGGCUUUCUAUUGUUAAUGUUGCUAUUGAAGACAAGUCUUAGUCCGUGGUGAUCUGAUAGGAUGCAUGGGAUGGUUUCAAUCUUCUUGUAUCUGUUGAGGCCUGUUUUCUGACCAAUUAUAUGAUCAGUUUUGGAGAAGGUACCAUGAGGUGCUGAGAAGGGAGUAUAUUAUUUUGUUUUAGGAUAAAGUGUUCUAUAUAUAUCUGUUAAAUCUAUUUGGUCCAUAACUUCUGUUACUUUCACUGUGUCUCUUUUUAGUUUGUAUUUGAUGAGAUUGGGAUGUUGAAGUCUCCCACUAUUAUUGUGUGAGGUGCAAUGGUGUUUGGAGCUUUAUUAUUUUCUUUUAUGAAUGUGGGUGCCCUUGCAUUUGCAGCAUAGAUGUUCACAAUUGAGAGUUCUUCUUUGUAGAUUUUUCCUUUGAUGAGUAUGAAGUGUCCUUCCUCAUCCUUUUUGAUAAUUUUUGGUUGAAAGUCGAUAUUAUUAAAUAUUAAAAUGUCUACUCCAGCUUGUUUCCUGAAACUCUUUGCUUGGAAAAUAUUUUCAGCCUUUACUCUGAGGUGGUGUCUAUCUUUCACUCUGAGGUUUGUUUCCUGUAUGCAGCAAAUGUUGGAUCCUGUUUAUGUAUCUGUUAGUCUAUGUUUUUAAUUGGGUCCAUUGAUUUUUUUUUUCUCUGAUCAAGGCCC
rnacentral:lncRNA from 1 species